AAGUCGUAACAAGGUAACCGUAGGUGAACCUGCGGUUGGAUCAUUAGCAAUUAGCUGUCCCGUCACAGCGUCCCUGCCCGUUGCGGUAGGGAAUGCUCGUGCGCGGGGUAAUCCAAACAUGAUGUGAACUGUGCUGUCUCUGGCGGCGGGAUGCUGUAUGGGAAUGUGUGCUUUAUGCUUACAGCCCCACACGUAUCUGUCAGUUUUGGAAGGUGCGCGUUUAGUCGCCCCUUUUCAAGGCCGUGGACAAACCGCCAAACAACCUUAUCAACUCCAUAGCGUGUUAUUUUGACGUCUAAGCAAUGCACUUGUAUUUUUAAUAUACAAACAACUUUUGGCAACGGAUCUCUUGGCUCUC
rnacentral:misc_RNA from 1 species